UGUCCUGAUGGCUCACAUGAAGUUUCGUGCCGUUCCGACCUCGUUUGAUACGGUUAUGGUUAACCACACGGCCCCUCGGGCCCGACCCGAGCCCAGUCAACGUUUUGACCCGAUCAAAUCGGCCCGUGACCCGAAACGACCCUACUUGGGCCCUACAACAGCCACGUAAAGUUUCGGGAUGAUCCGACGUUCUUUCAUGGGGUUACGGACAAUCCACGCCAAACAAGCGUCACGGGCCGACCGAGCCGGGCCAACGGGCCCUCGGGACCCGAAAACUGAAUUUUUUUUCAUCCAAACCCAUUAAAACACGUUACCGAGGUCUCACGCAAAAUUUCAUGCCAAUCCGACGUCGUUUGAUGGGGUUUUGAGAUAUUAUGAUUCCUCAAAAAUUUAAUGUCUGUUCCUGUCACUUAGCUUUUUGUGCAAAAUGUAUAUAUAGGGGAGGGGUGGGUGUUGAGCAGCCCAUGCCCGGGCAAGGCAUGCCAGCGCCCAAGCCAAAGGAGGCUGGUGGCGUGCGUAUAACAGCUCAAAUGCCCCAACGAUGACCGAGAACAAGCGCCCAUCUCCCCUCCUUCCCCCCCACCAAGCGCCCCUCCCCCCCCCAUGUUGCCUGCCCACUCGCACAGCUACUCGUGAUUUCAUGCCCAGCGACUAGUGAAUGUGCCUCGACGACCAGCAAACCUCGAAAAUUAUGAUUCCUCGUAAAAUUAAUGUCUGUUCCUGUCACUUUACUUUUUGUGCAAAAUGUAUAUAUAGGGGAGACCAGGGGCUUGAGCAACCCCUGUGCCCAAGCAAGGGUCAGAUGGAAGCACACGAGACGCGAGGUUUAAAGCCUAUACAAGCAAGGCGUCUGUCUCCCCAAGCCCCAUUGCCUAUAAAACAAGCCCGAUGCCUUGUAAAUGCCCCACACGAUGCCUAUAAACGACAACGAUGUUUGCUAGUUAAUCGAUCGACGCCCCACACCUUGCAGCAUGUUGCCUAGUAAACAAGCCAUGCUGCCUUGGAAGCGCCCCACAUCAUGGCAUGUUGCCUAGCACGCUGCCCUUGUUUCCAGCACGGCGACCUGAAAGCGUGGCCUGACGACGUGCUUGCCUUCGAAAAUUAUGAUUCCUCAAAAAAUUAAUGUCUGUUCCUGUCACUUUACUUUUUGU
rnacentral:rRNA from 1 species